GACGAAGGGGGCACGUGUUAUUCGGAUUUAUUGGGCGUAAAGGGUUCGUAGAUUGUUAUUGUCUUUUUAAGUUAAAGAUUGAACAAAAAUUCAAAACUGCUUAAAAUAAGCUUUAACUUGAGGAUAAGAGAGGGUAACAGAACAGCCUGCAUAGAAGUAAAAUUCUAAAAUUCAGGAGAGAAUGCCACUUGCGAAAGCAGUUAUCUAGAUUAUUACUGACAUUGAGGAACGAAAGCACGGGUAUCAAACAGG
rnacentral:rRNA from 1 species